ACACACACACGCAACCUCCAGAUCACGUCUCUAGCAAACCGAGCAUCACCAUUGUUGCACCACCUUGGUUGAAGACGUGGAGCUAAGAAGGCAACAAACCUCCCUACCUCAACUUUCUUCAGCAAGGCGGAAGUCACCCCUUCCAAUCCCUAAGAAGAACCGGCUGGGGAAAGGGGGUAGGGUCGCAGGGGCAGCAACCUAAGCAGGGAGGCCCAGACUUCCCUCUUCCCGGCCACUUCCACCAGCUCUUCCUGGGGGACCCCGAG